GACACUAUAUCUGGAGCCAGGAAUAAUAGGAUCCGAGAAACAGUAACAAGUAUAAAACAAAGUGGUCUUGAACUCCUGGCCUCAAGUAAUCCUCCCCACUG
rnacentral:misc_RNA from 1 species